rnacentral:rRNA from 1 species
GGUGAACGCUGGCGGCGUGCUUAAGACAUGCAAGUCGAACGCAGUCUUCGGACUGAGUGGCGCACGGGUGAGUAACACGUAACUGACCUACCCCCAAGUCGCGAAUAACCAGCCGAGAGGAUGGCUAAUACGUGAUGUGAUGAUCCGCUGUGGCGGAUCAUUAAAGACUUGAUCGCUUGGGGAUGGGGUUGCGUUCCAUCAGCUAGUUGGUAAGGUAAAGGCUUACCAAGGCAACGACGGAUAGCCGGCCUGAGAGGGUGGCCGGCCACAGGGGCACUGAGACACGGGUCCCACUCCUACGGGAGGCAGCAGUUAGGAAUCUUCCACAAUGGGCGCAAGCCUGAUGGAGCGACGCCGCGUGUGGGAUGAAGGCCUUCGGGUUGUAAACCACUGUCAGUGGGGAGCAAAUGCAUCAGGGUUCUCCCUGGUGUUUGAGCGAUCCGCAGAGGAAGCACAGGCUAAUUCCGUGCCAGCAGCCGCGGUAACAC